rnacentral:tRNA from 1 species
GGAUACGUGGCCGAGUGGCUGAAGGCGCGCCCCUGCUAAGGGUGUAUGGGAUUUAUAGUCUCAUCGAGGGUUCGAAUCCCUCCGUGUCCGCCA